AGUGAACGCUGGCGGUAGGCCUAACACAUGCAAGUCGAACGGCAGCACAGUAAGAGCUUGCUCUUACGGGUGGCGAGUGGCGGACGGGUGAGGAAUACAUCGGAAUCUACUUUUUCGUGGGGGAUAACGUAGGGAAACUUACGCUAAUACCGCAUACGUCCUACGGGUGAAAGCAGGGGAUCUUCGGACCUUGCGCGAUUGAAUGAGCCGAUGUCGGAUUAGCUAGUUGGCGGGGUAAAGGCCCACCAAGGCGACGAUCCGUAGCUGGUCUGAGAGGAUGAUCAGCCACACUGGAACUGAAACACGGUCCAGACUCCUACGGGAGGCAACAGUGGGGAAUAUUGGACAAUGGGCGCAAACCUGAUCCAGCCAUACCGCGUGGGUGAAGAAGGCCUUCGGGUUGUAAAGCCCUUUUGUUGGGAAAAAAAAGCAGCAGGUUAAUACCCCGCUGUUCUGACGGUACCCAAAGAAUAAGCACCGGCUAACUUCGUG
rnacentral:rRNA from 1 species